rnacentral:lncRNA from 1 species
AGGUGGCUGAUUUAAACCAAUUUAAAUCCCAACCAAUCCUAAUCAUAUUAGGAACUGAUUAAACCUAAAUAGAUAGAAAACUAAAUCUAAUUUGGAGCCCAAACUAUUUAGAUUAGAUGUUACCUAAUUAGAGAAGGAGUCUUAGUCUUUUUGGACUCUCUUUUGGUGCUCGAGUCAAACUCAAUUUAAUCCUAAUCUAAUUAGGAUUUGGUGCACCCAUAAAAAUAAAAAUUUUUAGUCUAAAUAGAAAUUCAAAUAUUCUUAGUUAGAUCCUAGUCU